CUUCAGAGCGUAUUGCGCAGACGUUCACGUCACAGCGCUGUUUCCCCGGCGCGGCAGUGUGACAAACCGCUGCAACCUAAUAACAACUGAUUCAUUCACUUUUGUUUUUUCUCUGUCGCUGUGUUCGUUCGGAGGUUAGAAAGGGACAGUGCCGAUAAAAUACAAAAAUAACAGGUAAGAUUUUUAAUUCUUUUAAAUAAUAUAUAAAUUAAGGCGUGGCUGCGCAGGUUUAGUAAUAAAAUGGUCGUCCACUAACUUUUUAAAUUAAACAACGGUGCGUGAGGAUGGGUUUGUGUCUUUCGUUCGAGUGUGGCGACUGUGAGGUCUGCUGUAACCCGUGUUGUCUGGCGCUGAGUGCGUGCUGCCUGGUGCCCUGCCUGUGUCCUAACGCCUGCGGGCAGCAGCAACCCCCGCCGCAGCACGUGACCGUGGUGCAGCAACCCCCGCCGGUCAUAUACGAGCAGCAGCCGCCGCCGCCCGGCUACCCGUACCCACCACCCGGGGGAUACCCGCCCCCCGGCGGUCAUCCCGGCUACCCUCCACCACAGGGAUACCCAGGAUACCCCCCUGAUCCUUCACAAAUGUACCGAUGAAAAGCUUAGUUAAGGAUGGGUUGCAACAUUUCAUGUCGUCCGUGCUGCUGCUGCUGCAUCCCUUGCUGUUGCUGCGACUGUUGCAGCGAUGAUAACAAACGCACCGUGAUUGUACAAAAUCGCGUUGUCGUUCAACAACCACCGGCUGGCUCGGCGCCCGGACCCCGAGUCGAACCACCACCUCCUUAUAAAUACUAACACACCGCUAACAAAUAUUAUUUUUUAAACUUUUUUAUUUUGGAACAAUGCGCAGUCACAAGAAUUUACUAUGUAAAUCUGUAGUCUGUGAAAAAAUUACAUUAUCCACAUGGCCAGUCACAAAUGUCGUUACAAGAUUUAAAGUUAUAGAGCCGUAACAAAUAAGCACCAAUAGCCGGGUAAAUAAUAGUGUAUUGUUCUUUUGUUUUAAUCAGCGUCAAUAAUUAUAAAAUUAGGAAUAUAUUGUACUAACUGACAGUUGUGUUUUCAAUGCACGCUUUUUCUAAUUUCGUUACGAAAGUAAAACAUUGUACUGUUUCACUGUUAGUUCAAACUUAUGCCUAAUUUUAGAAUUUACUUUAUGCCCUCAUUGUUUUUUAAUUAUUUGGUGCAAUAUUAUUUUGUUAUUGUCUUUUUUUCUGAAUGUUAUUGAAAGUAAUAUACCUAUGAAUUGAAACGAAUUUAUUUCGCUCAAAGUAUAGUCGGAAACAGGGUCCAAGAUAACGGUGGUGUGGGCCUCAGAAAGGAACUUCUUUUAAUAGGAAAACUUUUAUAAUAUUUGUAUAAAUAGUAGUACUUAUUUUUUAAACAUAAUUUCCUCUCUGAAGCCCUUUAGCAUAAACUUUUUUCAUCAUGGAAUGCAGCAGCAACCUUUAGUAAAUGCUAACCUAUUAUUACUUUGUUAUUUAUUAAUUAAGCACAUAUUAAAUAUGUAUUAAGUAAAUAGAAAAUAAAUAGAUCUCCUAUGUAUUUAAUACUGCAAUUGAAAAUUUUUCCUAACUAUAGCAACAUUGUAGGAAUUGCCAAAGAUGAUAAUUUCUUGUCUUGGAAAAACCCCUCCUUCGUCUUGGAGAAAUAUUUCAGAGAUGCGAGACUUUCAUGCGUCCUUCUAUUUAUUUUUCUUAUUAUCGUCUCCUUCAUGAAGGUGUAGUCUUUACGUAAUAAUUAUUGUCAGUAAAUUAAUCUUUCGAUUGUAGUAUUCAAUUGAAGGACACGUGAGCACGUUUUUUCUUCGUUUUCCUUAAGUUUUAGUGCGAGAUAGGAGAUAUCAGUAAUUGUGAUAAUGUUGGUAUUCCGAAUACCUAUCUAUACACCUCAGUUGUAAAUAAAUAUACGUUAUAACUUUUCACGUACGCCAUUUUCAUGACGGCAUUCAUUAUUUUUUUUUAUUAUGUCUAAAAUAUUUAUCAAAGAAUAGAUAGUAAAUCAUUAUGUUAUAACUUAAUAAUUCCUGUUAUAGUGUCAAUACAAUAAGAAGUCAGUACAAUAAGAAGGAUAGCUUGUACGUAAUAAUAUAUUUCAAAUACUUGAGUAAUGAGCUCACACAUUAUCGCAUUAUGAUCAAUGCAUAAACAAUAUUUCUAAGCAUAAACAAAUAAAAGAGUGAUACCAACAGGGCGUAAGAUAUUUAUGUAUGUAAACUAUAUUUUUUAAGUAAAAAAUCCAAUCCACUGAGUCUUUUUAUUUGAAUUACUUUGCAAUACAAGUUCAAUAUAAAGUACCUACCUAAUAGUACCUAAUAGAAACUAGGUUUAAAACGAACGGAGGCUCUAGCUACCUACUUUUAGAAAGUUUCAAGCCAUGUCGUUUUUUUUAAAAAGGUGUGCUAUGUUAUAUUUUACAGUUCAGUUUAUAGCUGUUGUAGUUUUAAUGGAUGUGUAGCAAACACGAAACCAUAACUUAUGAUUUUAACGACUCUUUUUUUACUACCUCAGGAAAAGUACUACAUUGUAGAAACGUAUAAAGAAUGAUAGAUCUAAUUCAAUAGAUGUUCCGAUUACGAAAAAAUCUGAUAUUUCAGAUCACAAAUAUUAAUAUGGGCAUUUAGUAAAUAUUCUGAAUAUCUAUGGAAAAUUAUGUCAUGUACUUAUAUCGGGUGUGUCGUUCACAAUCACAUUAAAUGAAAUGCUCCCUUGAAAACUGACAGCUGUCAACUGAUCAAAACAUUCGUUACUCCUAAUUUUAUCUCUGCUUUACACAUGAUGUUGUAAGUAAAUUAAAAAAACGAAAAAUGACUCCUGUGGUUAAACCACUGAAUGGGUUAGGUUAUUUUUUUAUAAUUCGCCAUAGACUAUCAUAAAGUAUAAUAUGCGAUAGGAUUUAAUGUGAUUGUGAACGACACACCCUGUAUAAUAUUUUUUAGUUUGGUCAUAACAUCGUUUUUCAAUCAGAAUUACGGUUUUAGGUCUAACGAUUUAAAGGUGGUUAUAUUUUUUUAAAGUUUUUGGACAGAAGUGAUAUUGUUACAGUAUGGCUGACUGUAAAUACUCGUAAAUCAAUCAACCAAAUUAUGAUUUGAAAACUCGAAUGGGUCAAAAGAGAGAGACAAGUUGAACCACUGGAAUUGCCAUGACCACUGAGGACAGUAAUUAUAAGUACUUUUUUUCGUGACUUUGUUAAAUUCUGCAGAGACCAUUUUUCGGUGAAAAUCUGUUUAUGAUUCUGAAAUUAUAAACAGAAGCCUUCAGAGGCUUUCUUAUGGGAAAACCUUUUUUCUUGCACAAAGAAAAAAUACCCCUUUAAUCACUGCACCUGCGUCGACAGGGUUUAAUCUGACAAAUAUAUUAAUUAACGACCAAUUAGCGCUUCCUACGUUUGAAUAUAUUUAAUUUGGAGGUGACUCAUGAGUGUGGGCACAAUAUAGGUACAAACGUAUGACUCAUCAUGAAAUAUUGACGUUCGGAGUAUAUCUACUUUAAGUGCAUUGUUUAGAUAGAGAAUUGGGCUUGUUUGUUACUAAUAAGCUCCAAUAUUUUGUGCCGCCUAGUUGGCGAUUAAGAUGAUUCCAUUUUAGAAGAAUUUUAUGGACCCAUUUAUUACUUAUCGAUUUGCAAGUCUUUUUUCAGAUGGAAAGACAAAGAUAUGAGAAAAUGUUGGUCUGGUAGUCGCACUGUUAUGCAAGGGGUAUUGGGUUCGAUUCAAAGGCAAGAGUCUGGAAGUUGGUGGCGCUACACAGUCGUUCCUCUAUUCGAUCUCUCCUCGGUCAUAUUGCAUGGACGUCCCAUUGGAGUAUAAGUGUAAGGGAUGAGAGAGUGUCUGCGAAAACUCUUGUGCAAAAUUUUAUAACAAUUACAUGUAUGUCCUGCGCACCGGGCUUAUCUCCUAGGAGAGCAGCCACUGAGGGGUCGACAAUCAGUUCGAAAGCCGUUACUAAUAUAGUGGUUAUGAUUUAACUGAUUAACUAUUUGAAAAACGUGAAGAAUGAUCGCUAUCUGUGUUUAUUCCAUUGAAAACUUUCCCGAAUGGUUAUCUUAUUGCUAGGUCUAUAUCGGAACAAUGACAUCCUAUCUGUCUCGUAAGCAUUGUCAAUUGUAUCAAGUUACAUCUCUGUCAAAACAUUGUAGAACUUGUAUUUGAAACAUUCUUUGAAUCGUAACGUUAAGACGUUUUCAAAUUAUUUUUGUAACAAUUUGGGUAGGUACUCGCAUCAAAUUGUGGCUGUUAAGUCACUGGAAAUUAUACCUGCCUUUAUAAUAAUCUUUGUAUUAUCAUAAAUGAUGGCCUGAUAAUGCGAAUUACUGAGAAUAAAGCGAGAUUUGAAUGUAUUUAUGAAGAAAUAUGUAAUUUGGUUUAAAAGCAGUAUCAAUUAGGUAUGAUAAGAAAUAAUGCCAGUCACUUUCCUCAAUAACUAAAUUUGAAUGCUAUUUUUUUCAUAUUAAGAACUCCUUACGUCCUAAAUGAUUCAUGCGUGUGACUUUUUUUUCUAUUGAAUUAUUUAUCGAUGAUAACUAUCUUAUCGCAAUGGACGCUAGCUUCGCUUUAGCAAGCAAGUGGGCUACAUAAUAAGUCGACUGCUUAAAUAAAAAACAUUUCGGAGGACGUGGUGGCUUAGCACUUGGAUAUAUUUAAAUAAAAGCAGCUAACAUGGGUUUAUGCUGCAGCUGUUGUGGUGAUGACGGAGGUGGUGUGACAGUAGUGGACCAGGCAUUCAACAAUGAUGGGGGCUUCCCCCCACCACCCGACGGCGGGGCGGUCACUGAAGGGCCCAACUUCCAAAUGAGAUGAUCACAGCCUCAAACACGCGUGUGUUUGAGGCGAAAAACUACUCCGCAGCGCUAGUGAUAUAACUAUGUAAUAUUGUUUAAGAAAACUUCUUGUCUUAUUAAAAUUAUGAAACUAAAAUUGCA